rfam:Salmonella enterica subsp. enterica serovar Enteritidis str. LA5, WGS project CAGR02000000 data, contig: Scaffold22-Contig1
CCGGCCCUUUCCGCCGUCUCGCAAACGGGCGCUGGCUUCAGGAGAGGAUAACCCAUGGCCGUAAGCGCAGGCACACCGUAGUGCCUGCUAUCACGGCAUUAUCGCCAGCGGUGCUGCCGUGAUGCGGUCUUCGCAAGGACCGCAACAUGAAGGUACGAUGCUUUUGUGUCGUGCUUCUUGUUUCUGGCACGUUGUGUCUUCACGCAGACAGAAGCUACCCAGGUAGCUCUGUUCCCGUAACGCUCAACGUCCAGAGCAGGUAAGCCAGGAGGCCGCCCUGUUGGGCGGCUUUCUUU